CAAUCUACAGAACCCGGUUUCUUCUCUCCUCUCCCACUCCACUCACUACUUGUCUCUCUCUCCUCUACUUCAUCAAAAUCAGGCAGGCAAAACGAGACAAAUUUUUUAAAACAGAAGACAAAAAUAGAAAAUCUGGGCCCAAUAAAAAUACGCCCCCGAAGCGAAAGUAAAGGAAAUCCCAGAAAUAAGGUUCAUUUCCUACUUUACAAAUUCCUCCCUGAGAACACAAAAUACACAAAACUUUGAUCCUCCAUAUUUCGACAAAAAGUUUCCCCCAAGUACAUAUUUCAUCCUCAGACUUUCUCCCUUCCUUCCCGUUAAUGAAGAGAAUUAAGAUCAAACUCAGAAAAAUCACGGACUCCAAGUGAGUGAGCGUGUUGUUUCUCAUUUUGGAUUGGAAUUAGAAGUGGGCACACUUUCUCCCAUUAUUUUAUCACGGGAAUUACAUUACAUUACAUACUUCACACCCUGUCAGACUAAACCACGAGAUACAAUACUGACAGAAGACAAGACGAUACCGCUCUUCUGCUUUCUCUCUCCCACAAAAACCAAACCAUUAGCACGGUGAGAAAGCGACCCUGUCCUGUUCGUGGUUCGAGGAAAUUCUACUACACAUACCGCUCCAGGAAAUCGUUCCAUUUUCCAACGACCAUUUUUCACAGCUUUCUCUUCCCCCCGAAAUAAAAAUAGAAAUCAUUACUAUCGACACAAUUGGAGGAGGAGGAAAGAAAACGGCACGCAACCCAAAAACUUUCUCUAAGAAUUCUCUCCCUCCCAAAAAAAACUACAAUUAACAAGAAAUCAGAAACAGCCAUAACUCAUUGGGGCAAAAAGAAAGUAGAGAGAAAUUGUCACCGAGCACGAACCUCAACUUUCUCUCCUGUUGAAUUUUGUUGUACCCAGCAAAUUCCCAGACUCUUCUGGAGCUUUGAUCUCUCUGAUAUGAGACUGCGGUGAAAGUAACGAGUUCAUAAAGGAGGAAACUAGUGGUGAAAGUCAAAUUCAUACCUAGAUAAAAUCUGUGCUGCUAAAAUCUUUGUUAUUGUGUGGACGCGAGAGGAAAAGAGAGACUCGGAUAUAGGAGAUAAUGCCUCCAACAGUUUUAAUGAUUUUUGACCACGUCGUUUUGGGAUUACUCGUACUCGUCGCAAUGUUCUGUGCCGUUCUCGCAGCCAUUCUUAAAAGAAAAGUGACUCACGAUAACAACAACGGCUUCAUUGUGUAGAAGACUUGCAUUGUGUGUGUACAGAGAAAGCUCGACUGUGUGUCAUCCGGCAGGCUGUGAACAAGAGCGUUAUUUUAUCUCGCGGAUAGUGCCACCAGAGCUGAGCUGACCAAACAGACAAAUAAAAUCUGCAGUAGUAGCUACGCUAUAUAGAUAGAUCGGAAUCCAAAUUAAGUAUAUGUACGGACCAGGAAGUAGUGGCAGUACCACCACCUGCAACAAAAACCGCAAAUAUUGCCUGACUACAAUUAAUUUAUGAAUUUCGUAACGACUUCAAGUCCGAAUCCUUACAUAACUUUGGCCAACCUAGUGACACGUUCAGCCGAAGACGUGACAUUAACUCCGUGAUCCUCAUUAUCUUCUCAACUGCACCCCAGCAAUUAUCAACUUUCCCCGAAAACCAGCCAGCCAUCCACUCGUCCGCAAUUAAUUUAGAUAUCCACAUAACACGAAAUAUUCCCAAGCCUGCAUCUUACCCAUAAUUUCAUUUGCAACGAUUCACCCACCACCCGCAUUCCACGUUUCGUUCGUGAGUGAACAGUCGAUACGAACCAACACAAACCACUAAUUCGAUCUCACCGGAAUUUCACUCGCCACAAAUUUAACUGUGACUCUGAGUACUGUCAUUUCGUCAAAAUUCCAACAACAAGCAACUUUCCCCAUCUAAUUGCCUCCCCCGACUUUCAAUUGAUCUUCAUCGAACUAAUUUAACCCAUCAAUUAACCCCAACUUUCUCAAACUUUCACUUCUUGGAAGAAUCUUACCCAAGUCAGAAUCUUCAUCUUGAUUUAAGUGUUUAACUCAGAGGAGCAGAAUUGAAUUCAAAUUUGGAAUUAAAUCCCAAGCGACAGUUUAGUGAAGUGAAACGUUCAGUUCGUUACUCUUACUUAAGGUACUUUCACUCUCUGCUCAUUAAUGAAAGGAGGACCCUCCUUCUCCUCAGAGUCCGGGGGGAAAGAGUAGUCAAAGCUGUCAACCAAGAGUCAAACCAAUUCAUUCAACCAAACCGUGUUAGCAUUAACAUUUAGUGGAAGCCAAGUCAGAGGAGAAAGUCAGAUACCAAAAUCACAAUUCAGCUUUCUCUCUCUCUCUCCCAAUCCAUUCCAUCAGAUCGCAUCUCAUCCAUACAGCCACCAAGCGUAUUGAUUGUGCAAUCUUCUAUCUUCUACGAGAGGACGUCGGCACAACCAAAUUCAGCAGCACUCACCAGUUCGCAAUUCAAUUUCAAAAUUUGUCACCGUCGGAUUCUUAGCUGAAAAAAGAGAAAAAAAAACUCGAUACAUACAGGCGGGCAGCAUCAGUAAAGCAAACUCACUCACAUCACAUUCAUAGCAGCGGCCAAGUUUGCUUGAGCUCUGAUAUAGAACGACGAACUUUCACCAGAAAGGAGGAGAAAGCAAGGGAAAAAAGUGUUUGCUUAGUGCUCUGCUCUGCUCUUUACUCUUCAAUGGAAUUCGUGCAUACUUUAAUUGACUGAUUCCCUUCUGGGGACGGGAAAGAGACACUUUCAGCCGGGAUAAAAGUACUAGGUUUCAUAACUAUUCGUCCUCUCUACUUGAAAAAAAAUACAGUAAAGAAGAAGGUGGAUCAGGCCUGAAACUGUUUGAUUUUCUCUUUCGAACGCGGAAUAAUUGACACUUGCAGUUUUUUUACGCUGUAUAAAUAAAUUCGAGAUAAACCCGUACUUUCUCCGAGAUAUUUUUCGAAAUUUUCUAUCCACUCGUUAAGAAGAAGACGGAGCUAAGUGAAAUAUAAAACUGCAGUUUUGCGCCGGGCCGACGGAACUCAAAGUUGAAGAUAGGAGCCGAGAGGAAGUGAGUGGGGGAUCUCAUAAAAGCGGAUAUUUAAUUUAACAGUCAAGAGAAAGUGAAGUGGUUUGAUGUGAAUUUGAUGUUUGGAGAGAAUAAUAGAGUGAAAGUUAACGGGAAAUCGGUCUCCAAUUGCUGAAUAUCAGACGAAGAACUGUGUAACAAUCCACUUUCUCCGUCUGCACAAGAAGACGACGAGGAGGAGCUACAUAUCUGCAGACAGCCACAUUCAAGUGUAAUCUCAAGGAAGAAGACUUUCACUCUUCACUCCAUUUUUAAUUCUGCGCUAUUUUCCCACCUACUCACUCAGGAUUUGUGUGGAUUUCCAACUUUUGACAUUUACACGAUUCAUUCGAGGUCUCUUCUCCUCAUUAUUGACGCGGCGUAUUUUUAGCAGUGACCCAAAUAUACUUUCACCUCUGGAGAAAGUAAAGUUUGACCUACAAAUUUAUCGUUAUAAAAUUUGUUGGUGGACUUAUCCCCCAAUUUGAAUACUCUUUUUCUCUUUCUCCACUUUCUCCACAAAAUGCAACUCCUCGCGUUAAACGCGCUUCUCCUCUUCGACGCUAUUUUCAUAUUCUUUCUCUUCCUGGUCUCCGUCUCCUGCCUUCUGUACUACCUCCCCCUCGUGCCCCCGACGCGGUCCUCCUCUCUGACCAAUAUGGAUGAGGAUAUCGACCUUGAAAGUGCCCUUGUUGUCGAAUCCAGUCGUGAACCCUGUACCGGCCAGGCUUCAUAUUCACACCCGCACUACUGUCACCACCACCACCACCACCUGAUCCGAGACCAUGAAGAAAGCCGGGAGGCAGAAUUCCAACAAAAUCCUUGCAGCGGGUGCCCUUAUGAAGACCUCGAAAUGGGGGAACAUGACCCUUCCCCGACGGCCAACCCGUCACCGAUGCAUCACCCCGUAAAUCCCACGCCGGUCAGCAAAUCCCAGCACCCGCCAGCUCCCCGGCAGGAUCAUCCCGCCACUCACAUUAUUAUGACCCCACCCCAGAGAAAGUAUUACCAAAGUGGGGACAAGGGUCAGCCUUUCGCCCCGGUCGAGACUGUGUGAUAAGCUUAUCUCUCAACUCUCAGAAAGCAAGGGGAAAGGUGAUGGCGAAUAUGUAAUUAAGUAAAUGUUUAUAUGUAAAACUAAUCAUGCAGUGUAAAAAAAAAACUUUUAGCUGACAGAAAACAAAUUUUAAAUUUUCUAAAUCGAAAUUUUUAAAGGGUUUUUUGUAGUCAUGAAUGGAUGUGCAUGCAGUAUACGAUCCGUAGGGAAAUACUUUAUAACUGUUUAGAAUUUUAAAAAAAAGGUGUCAGUUGGUGACCCGAAUUUUUGGAGAAAGUUUGAUGAUUUUGAUAAGGCACAAAACCAGAUAAGACACACACGGCUUUAGAGAGUUGAUUAAUUUGCACCUUAUUUCUCGUAAAAUUAAUGGUUUUCCACGUCCCCUGUGGCACAUUUAUUUUUAAACUUCACUCUUUUUUCCUUAUGCAAGGCACGAACUUGUCUGUUCGUCUCAUCUCUAACAGGAAUGUACAUAUAACGACAGCACUUUGCAUUUUUUGAGACACGGGCCAAAACAGCAAACAAUGCACGUCGUCCUUAAUCCACGUUCUGUGCAUGGAUAAAUCCCAGCAGCACGGUUUACGUGGGUUUACCUACCUACUUGCACUUUCUCUCUGGGUCUCUCACUUUCUCUGCAUAUGUUUUACCAGUUUUUUUUCCUGAGUCUUAACAAUAUUUCCCUGUGGCAAACACACAUUAUGACUCGGCUUCGUGCCCAACAUUAACAACAUGAUGUAAAAAUGGGUAAAAUUUCGGGUACAAGGGAGGUCUUCUAGUGGAUGCUAUCCGAUUUUGAGGAAACUUGUGUCAAUCGGUGGCAAAUUUGAUUAGUAUGAAAUUUGCGAAAGACACGAUUUCCCAAUGGGUAGGUUUAGCAGAGAUAUUUGCAUCCGAAGAGGAGAAAGCACCCAGUAAAUUUAGAAAGUAUGAAAUUUGCCAACUUUAGUGCGAACUUAUUACUUUAUUUGCCAACUUUCUCCUCUUUGGAUGCAAAUAUCUUAACCAAACGUGCCCAUUGGUAGAUUGUGCCUUUUGCAAAUUUCAAACUAAUCAAAUUUGCAAUAUAUUGACACUAGUUUUCCCAAAAUCGGAGAGCAUCCACUAAGAAACCUCCAUUCUGCCCGCAUUUUGCCUUUAAAAGAAGAGAACAGAAUAUUCUUCGUGGGAUGAGCAAAUAAAAAUGGUGAAAAGUGGGUGAAAAGAGCAAAAGUUUAGUUUUCGAAGUGAAAAUUACUUUUUUUUGUCCCAGCGUCUCCUCUGUUUCUCUUGCAUAUUCAUUUUCAUUUCGCAUUUCCUGUCUCGCACUUCACUCCCUCCUGCAAACUAACCAAGUCCUGAGUAAAAGUAAAAGUUCCUCCCCGGUCUAAAUCGCAUGGCUUAAUUUGACAUGCACAAGCUUAGCGAAAUGGCCGUACCUGUACUUUUCGUCAAGUAAGAUGGAUAUCUUCUGUACGACUGCGGCGGUAGUUUGUAAUUUCCGGUGUGCCCCACCAUCUUGUUUACUUUACUGUAAUAAUUUCAAACUUUUUUUCUUCUUGUGACAUAAUUCAAGUAGAAAUUUAUAUAAUAAGUGUUUCGUUUCUUACCGGUUUGCUACAUUUCUUGCAACGCAAAGCAGGAAAUGCGAGAAAAUUAAGGUGCAAGAAACUGGGAGAAAGUGCAAGAAAUAUGCGCCAUCUAGCCAACGCGCCGUAUGAACGGAAAGUAUUUUUUUGCGUCUUGCAUUUCGCGCAGGUCAAAGUCGCUGAAGUAACCAGUUUCUUGCACCCAGUGUUUAGUUUCUUGCACAUUUCUUGCACUGCAAAGCAAGCAACGCAGGAAAUGCGAGGUGCAAGAAACUGGGAGAAAGUGCAAGAAAUAUGCGCCAUCUAGCCACGCGCCGUAUGAAUUAUAGCGACUGGGCGAACUUUCUUGCGCCUUGCAUUUCUUGCACGUCAAAAUAUCUAUCUUCAAGAAACCACUUUCUUCCCGUUAUUUCUUGUAAAUGGUUACUUACUUUCACCUCGAAACACUUUAUAAUUCCGAACGAACCGAUGCAGUAAAAAAUGCAGUCAUGUCCUUAUUGAAUUCCAAAAAAAAGAGAAGCUAUCUCCAAGUCAUGUCAUUUACUUACUUACUUGGAGGAUAAAUUGACAUUGUUGCUCAGGCAGGGUGUCCGCCACCCGACCGAGGAUGGAUACCCUUCUUUCCUCGCGGGGAGAGACAUUCCUCCCAGCACAGAGCACAUUGAAAACAGGUGAAUAAUGUGAAAGUGAGGACGUGAAGGCAUCUUCUUCUUCUCCUUUGCAUCCGCAGAAGUGCAUGUUGCUCUGUCAGCUAAAAAGACAUAAAGCAGGGUUGAGCAGAGAGAGAGAGAGAGAAAGUGGUGAAAGUGCGAUGCGAUGAUGCCACGAGGGGUCUUCUUUCUUUCAUUUGCUUUCUCCCCACAUCUGAUUUAUGUUCAUCUCUUUGUCUGCGUUUGUGGUGUGGUGUGGUGGCGAGUCCUCCUUUUUCCUCGUCUUCUCAACAACUGAACUGAACCACCAAACUCAGAAUGGAGGAGGUGUCCCAGCGUAGUAUGCUCUUAGAUUUUGGAAAAUUAGUGUCAAUGGGAAGAGUAAAAUUUGCCAAAUUUCAGGAGGGUUUUCGUCCAUUUGGAUGCAAAUAUUUGCGAAGCCUGCACAUUUUUGUCUUUUGCAAAUUUCAUACUAAUUAAAUUUAUGGUUGAUUGACAUUAGUUUAGCCAAAAUCGGUCAUAAAUUAGUAUGAAACUUAGAAAAGACACGAUCUCCCAAUGGGCACGUUUGGCAGAGAUAUUUGCAUCCUAAGAGGAGAAAGCCCAUUGGGAGAUCGUGUCUUUUCCAAAUUUCAUACUAAUUAAUUUUGCCAUCGAUUCACAUGAUUUUUCCCAAAAAUCUUCAAGCAUACACUGGACCACCUCCUUAUUCCUAGUCUAUUUCCACCACCGUUCAAAAUGAACUUUGAAUCUACUUUAAACACCACAUUGUAUGUGUAUAUAUAUUCCCCAAGGUUUUUGACAUAACCGCAGCACACUCACUUUCAGAAAUCUUCUUCUUCUGCACUAUUUUGUUGAGGUUUUCAUUUUCACUCUGAGAAGGGUGUGGUUUGGUUUGGUUAUUCUCGUCCAUUUUAUUUUUAGCCCGUCUUUUGACACCUCUCCGCUUUCCCCCUUAUCAGAUGCAUGCAUCUCUUUCUUCUUCCUUCAUUUCCAGCCGGGUUUCUUUGUUCCCAAUUUAACAUUCAAUUUGAGCCGAUAUUUAGCCGUCACUCUGCGUUAGAAGUGUAUUAAUUUGUGUGUCUUUGAGUGCCCUGAAAGAGGAUGAGCAAAAGGUUGUGUAGUUUCUUGUAUAUGUAAAUAAAUGUGUAAAUAUAGAAUACUAAUUUCCAGGGGUGGGCAAAAUACUGGGUGAAAAUAGGGUAUUUUGAGCUCUGUUUUUCCCAGGGUUUGGAUUUCUGGGGGUGUUAUACCCACAAAAAAGACGAAAAUAUACGUGGAGAAAGCAAUAUUUUUAUGAAAAUACAGGGUUUUGUGAAGAAAUUAACUUUUUAUCCGUGUCAAAAUACUUUAUUUUUAAAAAAUCGUGAAAACAAUGUAUUUUCACAGCGAUAAAAACUUUAAUUUCUUCACAAAACCUGUAUUUUCGUAAGAUUGUUACUUUCUCCAUGCAGAUUCUCAUCUUUUUUUUAGGUGUAACACCCCCGGAAACACAAACCCUGGGAAAACUUUAGCUCAAAAUAUUCUAUUUUGACUCAGUAUUUUGCCCAGCUCUGCUAGUUAAUAAACUUCGCCCCUUUAAAUCUAUUUACCUAGUGUGCUCGUGGUCGCCGUGAUGAAGACAAUAUUCUUUUAAAUAUUGCUACAUAACUAACAAGUUGAACAUAGAUUAUUAAAUGUUACUUAAUGUGCAGUUAAAUGACUUAAAUUAAUACGAAUGUGAUUUAACCUAUAAUAUUAUUUCCAAGUCGGGGUUUUUGAAACCAUUGUCUGUCUCUCAGUGAAUUGAAUUGAAUUUGUCUAGCAUGUAGAACAGCCUGGCGGGCAUUUGCAGUUAAUUAAGUAAUUACUUACCCCUUUAGUUCACCACCACUGCUGAAAUGUACGUACCUUUGAAGUAAAGUUAAGCCUAUAACGUCAAAUGGUUAUAUUAAAUACUACAUUAAUGCAGUGGCCGCGGAAGCCGUGGGGACAUUUGGGGACAUUAACACUGUAGGAUAGGGGAGGCCGGGGUUUAUAUAAGAUGGACAGAUGAUGGGGACAUCGAAUAACCGUGGGGGCAUUGUCCCUCUGUCCCCACCCUUCCGCGGCCACUGCAUUAAUACAUAUAAGAUAUACAUAUGUACAUACCUUCACAGUUAAUUAUAGAAUAACACUUACUUACGUACGUAAUCCACCCCCUGAAGUCUUGAGAAAUGUCGUUACAGGUUAUAACCAACUACAUGCAGGUUCUUCUUCUUUGUAAAGCAGGGAAACAAUUAUUUAGCUUAUCAUUCAAUAUUUAAAUCUAUAUGUAUGUAUAUUAUCUGUAAGCAAAUAUUAAUUAUAUAUGUAUGUACAUCAAAGGAACAAUAAACUAUGAUGGUGCAAAAGCGAA